AAUAGAUACCCCGGUAGUCCACGCCGUAAACGAUGAGUGCUAAGUGUUAGGGGGUUUCCGCCCCUUAGUGCUGCAGCUAACGCAUUAAGCACUCCGCCUGGGGAGUACGGUCGCAAGACUGAAACUCAAAGGAAUUGACGGGGGCCCGCACAAGCGGUGGAGCAUGUGGUUUAAUUCGAAGCAACGCGAAGAACCUUACCAGGUCUUGACAUCCCACUGACCGCUAUGGAGACAUAGUUUUCCCUUCGGGGACAGUGGUGACAGGUGGUGCAUGGUUGUCGUCAGCUCGUGUCGUGAGAUGUUGGGUUAAGUCCCGCAACGAGCGCAACCCUUGAUCUUAGUUGCCAUCAUUUAGUUGGGCACUCUAAGGUGACUGCCGGUGACAAACCGGAGGAAGGUGGGGAUGACGUCAAAUCAUCAUGCCCCUUAUGACCUGGGCUACACACGUGCUACAAUGGACGGUACAAACGGUUGCCAACCCGCGAGGGGGAGCUAAUCCGAUAAAACCGUUCUCAGUUCGGAUUGUAGGCUGCAACUCGCCUAC
rnacentral:rRNA from 1 species